GACGAACCGUGCAAACGUUAUUCGGAAUCACUGGGCUUAAAGGGCGCGUAGGCGGGUUAUCAAGUCCGGAGUGAAAUCCCACGGCCCAACCGUGGAAGUGCUUUGGAUACUGGUAACCUCGAGGGAGAUAGGGGCACGCGGAACUUCCGGUGGAGCGGUGAAAUGCGUAGAUAUCGGAAGGAACGCCGGUGGCGAAAGCGGCGUGCUGGGUCUCUUCUGACGCUGAGGCGCGAAAGCUAGGGGAGCAAACGGG
rnacentral:rRNA from 1 species